rnacentral:rRNA from 1 species
GCUGCCAAGAAAAGCUUCUAGCGAGAUAAAAGGUGCCUGUACCGCAAACCGACACAGGUAGGCGAGGAGAGAAUCCUAAGGUGUGCGAGAGAACUCUGGUUAAGGAACUCGGCAAAAUGACCCCGUAACUUCGGGAGAAGGGGUGCUUUCUUAACGGAAAGCCGCAGUGAAUAGGCCCAAGCGACUGUUUAGCAAAAACACAGCUCUCUGCGAAGCCGUAAGGCGAAGUAUAGGGGGUGACACCUGCCCGGUGCUGGAAGGUUAAGGAGAGGGGUUAGCGUAAGCGAAGCUCUGAACUGAAGCCCCAGUAAACGGCGGCCGUAACUAUAACGGUCCUAAGGUAGCGAAAUUCCUUGUCGGGUAAGUUCCGACCCGCACGAAAGGUGUAACGAUUUGGGCACUGUCUCAACCAGAGACUCGGUGAAAUUAUAGUACCUGUGAAGAUGCAGGUUACCCGCGACAGGACGGAAAGACCCCGUGGAGCUUUACUGUAGCCUGAUAUUGAAUUUUGGUACAGUUUGUACAGGAUAGGCGGGAGCCAUUGAAACCGGAGCGCUAGCUUCGGUGGAGGCGCUGGUGGGAUACCGCCCUGACUGUAUUGAAAUUCUAACCUACGGGUCUUAUCGACCCGGGAGACAGUGUCAGGUGGGCAGUUUGACUGGGGCGGUCGCCUCCUAAAGUGUAACGGAGGCGCCCAAAGGUUCCCUCAGAAUGGUUGGAAAUCAUUCGUAGAGUGCAAAGGCAUAAGGGAGCUUGACUGCGAGACCUACAAGUCGAGCAGGGACGAAAGUCGGGCUUAGUGAUCCGGUGGUUCCGCAUGGAAGGGCCAUCGCUCAACGGAUAAAAGCUACCCCGGGGAUAACAGGCUUAUCUCCCCCAAGAGUCCACAUCGACGGGGAGGUUUGGCACCUCGAUGUCGGCUCAUCGCAUCCUGGGGCUGUAGUCGGUCCCAAGGGUUGGGCUGUUCGCCCAUUAAAGCGGUACGCGAGCUGGGUUCAGAACGUCGUGAGACAGUUCGGUCCCUAUCCGUCGUGGGCGUAGGAAAUUUGAGAGGAGCUGUCCUUAGUACGAGAGGACCGGGAUGGACGCACCGCUGGUGUACCAGUUGUUCUGCCAAGGGCAUAGCUGGGUAGCUAUGUGCGGAAGGGAUAAGUGCUGAAAGCAUCUAAGCAUGAAGCCCCCCUCAAGAUGAGAUUUCCCAUAGCGUAAGCUAGUAAGAUCCCUGAAAGAUGAUCAGGUUGAUAGGUUCGAGGUGGAAGCAUGGUGACAUGUGGAGCUGACGAAUACUAAUAGAUCG